rnacentral:rRNA from 1 species
ACUCAAAUGAAUAGACGGGGGCCCGCACAAGCGGCGGAGCAUGUUGCUUAAUUCGAUGCAACGCGAAGAACCUUACCUAGGCUUGACAUGCACGGAAAUCUGUCAGAGAUGGCAGGUCCUUUAUCGGGUCGUGCACAGGUGGUGCAUGGUUGUCGUCAGCUCGUGUCGUGAGAUGUUGGGUUAAGUCCCGCAACGAGCGCAACCCUCGUUCUAUGUUGCCAGCACGUGAUGGUGGGGACUCAUAGGAGACUGCCGGGGUCAACUCGGAGGAAGGUGGGGAUGACGUCAAAUCAUCAUGCCCCUUAUGUCUAGGGCUGCAAACAUGCUACAAUGGCCGGUACAAAGGGCUGCGAUACCGCGAGGUGGAGCGAAUCCCAAAAAGCCGGUCUCAGUUCGGAUUGGGGUCUGCAACUCGACCCCAUGAAGUUGGAGUCGCUAGUAAUCGCAGAUCAGCAACGCUGCGGUGAAUACGUUCCCGGGCCUUGUACACACCGCCCGU